rnacentral:rRNA from 1 species
UAGACUUGCUCUUAUGAUUUCGCGGCGGACGGGUGAGUACACGUGGGUACCUGCCCAUAAGACUGGGAUAACUCCGGGAAACCGGGGCUAAUACCGGAUAACAUUUUGCACCGCAUGGUGCGAAAUUCAAAGGCGGCUUCGGCUGUCACUUAUGGAUGGACCCGCGUCGCAUUAGCUAGUUGGUGAGGUAACGGCUCACCAAGGCAACGAUGCGUAGCCGACCUGAGAGGGUGAUCGGCCACACUGGGACUGAGACACGGCCCAGACUCCUACGGGAGGCAGCAGUAGGGAAUCUUCCGCAAUGGACGAAAGUCUGACGGAGCAACGCCGCGUGAGUGAUGAAGGCUUUCGGGUCGUAAAACUCUGUUGUUAGGGAAGAACAAGUGCUAGUUGAAUAAGCUGGCACCUUGACGGUACCUAACCAGAAAGCCACGGCUAACUAC